UAAAAAUUUGAUUUUAGUUUUUAUAUUUAAUUUAUAUUUUUAUUAUAUGUAAAUUUUUGUUAAUAGUUUUUUUAAUAGGGAUUAUUUAAAUAGCAAUAAUUAAAUUUAUACAAUAAAAGUAAUUUUGAUAUAGAAAUAUAUAAUAGUAUUAGUAAAAUUUGUGCCAGCAACUGCGGUUAAACAAAUAAUACAAUUAAAUAUUUAUUUAACAAUAAUAAAUAAGAAUUAUAUUAAUUUAAAAUUGAAUUUAUUAGGUGAAAUUAAAAAAUUUAAAUUAAAUUAAGUUUAAAUUUUAUGAUAUUAUGAAAUUUUUGUAAUAAACUAGGAUUAGAUACCCUAUUAUAAAAAAUAUAAAUUUUAUGUUAGGGGAGUAUUAGUUAUGGUCUUGAAAUUUAAAAAAUUUGGCGGUAUUUUAGUCUUUUCAGAGGAACCUGUCCUUUAAUUGAUAAUCCACGAUUAACUUUACUUAUUUUACAAGUUUAUAUAUCGUCGUAGGUUGAAUAUCUUAUAAGGGAUUUAAUAUUCAUGAUUUUUAAUUAUAAAGAAAAUCAGAUCAAGGUGUAGCUUAUAUUUAAGUAGAGAUGGGUUACAAUAAAUUUAUUUAUAUGGUUAUAAUAUUUAAAAUUAUUAUAUAAAGUGGAUUUGAAAGUAAUAUAUUUAAUUUAAAAUAUAUGAUUUUAGCUCUAAAAUAUGUACAUAUCGCCCGUCGCUUUCAUUGAAAUUAAAGUGAAAUAAGUCGUAACAAAGUAGGCUUACUGGAAAGUGUGCCUAGAUAGAC
rnacentral:ncRNA from 1 species